rnacentral:rRNA from 1 species
UACAGAGGGGGCAAGCGUUUGUUCGGAAUUACUGGGCGUAAAGGGCGCGUAGGCGGCCUUCUAAGUCGAACGUGAAAUCCCCGGGCUCAACCCGGGAACUGCGUCCGAUACUGGAAGGCUUGAAUCCGGGAGAGGGAUGCGGAAUUCCAGGUGUAGCGGUGAAAUGCGUAGAUAUCUGGAGGAACACCGGUGGCGAAGGCGGCAUCCUGGACCGGUAUUGACGCUGAGGCGCGAAAGCCAGGGGAGCAAGACGGG